GCAACCUGAAGCUGGCCAGCAACCAGCGCGCGGUGUUCCUGAGCCUGCUCGGCAUCUCGUGGCUGUGGUUCGUCGGCGCGACCUUCCUGACCUCAUUCUUCGCCUUUGCUCGCAACGUGCUC
rnacentral:ncRNA from 1 species